AAAAAAUCUAUAGUUAUUUUUUUACAUAUAAAUAAAUUUUUAUAGUUUAAUAAAUUUAUUAUAAAUUUAUUUUACAUAUAAAUUUUAGUGUUAAUUUUAUAUUAUUUUAAAAAUAAUUUAUUUAUUAUUUUUAUAGUAAUUAAUAUUAAAUAUUUAAGAAAUUAAGAUUUAGUAAUAUUUAAAUUAAAAACUAAUUUUGUGCCAGCAGUUGCGGUUAAACAAAAUUUAAAGUAAAUUUUAUUAGUAAUAAAUUAAUAAAUUUAAUAAAAUAAUUAAAAAUUAAAUUAUUAAGUGAAAUUUUAAUUUAAUAUAAUUUAUUAUAGAUAUUUAUGAUAAAUUAAUAAAUUUAAUAAAAAACUAGGAUUAGAUACCCUAUUAUUAAAAAAUAAAUUUAAAAACUAAAAUAGUAUUUAAUUAUUUAUUGAAACUUAAAUAAUUUGGCGGUAUUUUAGUUCAUUUAGAGGAAUCUGUUUAAUAAUUGAUAAUCCACGAUUAAAUUUACUUAAUUUUUAUUACUUUGUAUAUCGUUGUUAAAAAAAUAUUUUUAAAAAAAAAUUAAUAUUUAAAUAUUAGUAUAAUAAAUUAAAUCAGAUCAAGAUGCAGGUUAUAAUUAAGAAUAUAAUGGAUUACAAUAAAAUAUAUUUAAAUGAAUAUUAAUUUGAAAUAAUUAAUUGAAAGUGGAUUUAAAUGUAAUUUUAUUUAAUAUAAUAAAAUGAUUAUAAAUUAAAAUAUGUACAUAUUGCCCGUCGCUUUCAUAAAUAAAUUGGAAUAAGUCGUAACAAAGUAGAGGUACUGGAAAGUGUUUCUAGAAAGAA
rnacentral:ncRNA from 1 species